GCGUAACUGGACCUACCCUCAAGUCCUGACCGAACUCCUCGAAAGAGGAGCUAAUGUGGGAUGUGCUGCCUCACCGUGGUGAGGCAGUAAAGGCUAUGACCGCUUAGAGGAUGGGGUUGCGUUUCAUCAGCUAGAUGGUGGGGUAAAGGCCUACCAUGGCGACGGACGAAUAGCCGGCCUGAGAGGGUGGCCGGCCACAGGGGGCACUGAGACACGGGCCCCACUCCUAACGGGAGGCAGCAGUUUAGGAAUCUUCCCCAAUGGGCGCAAGCCUGAGGGAGCGACGCCGCGUGAGGGAUG
rnacentral:rRNA from 1 species